AAUAGAUACCCGGGUAGUCCACGCCGUAAACGGUGGGCACUAGGUGUGGGCGACAUUCCACGUCGUCCGUGCCGCAGCUAACGCAUUAAGUGCCCCGCCUGGGGAGUACGGCCGCAAGGCUAAAACUCAAAGGGAUUGACGGGGGCCCGCACAAGCGGCGGAGCAUGUGGCUUAAUUCGACGCAACGCGAAGAACCUUACCAAGGCUUGACAUACACCGGAAAACCCUGGAGACAGGGCCCCCCUUGUGGUCGGUGUACAGGUGGUGCAUGGCUGUCGUCAGCUCGUGUCGUGAGAUGUUGGGUUAAGUCCCGCAACGAGCGCAACCCUUGUCCCGUGUUGCCAGCAGGCCCUUGUGGUGCUGGGGACUCACGGGAGACCGCCGGGGUCAACUCGGAGGAAGGUGGGGACGACGUCAAGUCAUCAUGCCCCUUAUGUCUUGGGCUGCACACGUGCUACAAUGGCCGGUACAAUGAGCUGCGAUACCGCGAGGUGGAGCGAAUCUCAAAAAGCCGGUCUCAGUUCGGAUUGGGGUCUGCAACUCGACCCC
rnacentral:rRNA from 1 species